GAGGAAGAGAUCUGGGUCGAGGAUGUCCAGGAUGCCAAGCAAGAUAUCAGACUGCAGGGUAACGAGAGAAAGCAGGUACGCGUUCAGUGGACCUGAACAUUGCCAUGGCAACCACAAAAAAUGCUUCCUAUGCAGUUCACUGUCAGAAAACGGUCAGACAGAUAGACACUUGUUGCCAUUGGCCAACAUCCGACGAGGCAUGUAUGAAUUUGGCAUGGGGGUGGGGUGCCUCUUCUCUCCUGUUCCUCCUGAUGGUUGUCAUUAUCUUGGCAGACAUUUCUGUCUAGACCGUCUGGGCAGCACCAUUCCAUUCCAGUGGAGUCCCAGCCUACCCUACCCUGACCCGGCCCUCUCUCCGCCGUCUGUGCCAGCCUGUUUCCCAGCAUCACCAGCCCCUGCUCCCCUGCCACACAGUUGGGACCAACUCAUUAUUUCUUCAUUUAAUGAGUACUUCUUCUGUUCAAAAGAACAAGGAGAGGCAUUCUGGCCUUCUUGAGAUGUUUAGCAAACAGCGCCAGGCCUGCGUACCCCACUGGCUGCGUAACUCAACUCAGCUGAGAACAGCCGGCCCCAGGACGAGGCAAGAACUCAGUGUUCUGUUCUCUUCUGCCCUGAGGAGAUCACCAUGGAACGUUCCAGCACGAUCACAGAACUUCAAAUCAUAUGGGGAACAUCUGAGGUUUUUGUCGUACCAGGCUCUUUGGGUCUGUGUCCUCGGUAUUGUGUCUACACAUUAAAAAGGCACAUAUUUCAGAGUGUGGCUUUUUGUUAAAGAGAAAACACAUGUAGUACUUAUUUUAACAGUAAAGAUGCAUACUAGCGUACUAGAUUUCAUACUACAUAUAUGAGUAUACAUUUUGUGUUUGGAAGCUGCCCAGUAUUCAUCCUCAUCUCCUGAUUCGUUGUUUUCCACAGCUGGUAUUACUACUACAACUGAGCUGACUAGUGCUACCACUACUACUACUACUACUACUACUACUACUACCACCACUACUACUACCACCACUACUAAUAUACUACUA